AACCGGGCAAAUACGAAAAAUGCCUCCCAACUCUCUCUACAAUCAGAUCUGACUUCCAAUUCCAAGCGAUUAAGCGAGAGAGCGAGCUAGAGAGUCCGAGAGAGUAGAGAAUCCCUAGGUUCCGUCGCUCGCGUCUCUGAGUAGACGACAUUCGAGAAUGGAGCAUACGAACCUAAAUCAUUUUCAUUGCCUUGUCCGGAACCGGAUCCGGAUCCGAACAAGGCAAUGAUUUAGGGUUUCGGAUGGUGCAAAGAGAAUGGUGAGAUCGUUUGUCUCUGCGUCGACGAUGAAAAUGACAACAAUCCAGGACGUAGCCAUGUCGCGCGGAUCAGGAUCUGUCUCAGAUUACGGUCAUACUUUUAACUGAGCUCGCUCAGCCUCAUUGACAUUCGAGUUUGGUUAUGGGAUGUUACAUUUUACGGAUGGGUUUCCUUCAAACAGUGUAGCAGUUGCUUAACCUUGUUUCACAGGCGUUUUUCAAAUUUCCGUCAUUGUUUGCAGUUUUUUUCCCGCGUUGCAUGGUCUCCGUGUGUGUGUGUGUGUGUGUGUCUCUCUCUCUCUCUCUCAUUUCUCAUCUGUCUCCUCAGAUCUCCUUUCAUAUGUUUCGGUUUAGGCGGUGGGAAAAUGAAGGCAAAGGAUGAAAGUCAAAUGGGAAAAAGAGGAUUGGAGUUGAAGCACGGCUGGCAUGGUUUUUUCAAGUGUUUUUAAUGUCUUUUUUGUUUAGUUUGUUAUAAUUCUAUGAUUAAGUUUUUUUUUUUUUUUUUUUUUUUUCAAUUUGCAGUCGAUAUUUUAAUCUCUGUUAAUAUGGAAAUGUCAUUACAUGUUAGGAGAUAAACAUUGGAUGACUGAAUGGUCGGCCCCAUAAUUCUCAGUAGGUCCGGUAAGUCCCAGUAGGUCCGAUUCCGUGUUGCAGUAUCA